rnacentral:sRNA from 1 species
GGAUAUGAACACAAUCUGACUAAGCAUCUGUCAGCCCAUUGAUUAUCAUGGUAGAUUCAGCUGAUCUUGCUAGGUAUGUGGGGGGUCCCCUUCCUCCUUUAUUGCAUCCUGUGCACCCCUCCUGAAUCUGCAUGUUUAGUGGAAAGGGACAACAAUCCCAGAUAGGAGUGUACCAUUCUUCGGUUAAGGGUCCACAUUUCUUCAAUGGGGAAUUGGUUUGUCUCAUGCAAACCAAUGGAGGCAAGUUUCCUGGAUUGCCACACCAC